GAGACUUUCAGAGAUAAAGCUGCUGUGAGAACUUUUCUUCAUAAAUCCUGAAGACGGAUAUCUAGAUGUCUUAUCUAAACAAUAAUAACGUUUUUUUGGCCAGUGGCUAUUAUACACAAAGUUUUAAACUAACAUCACUAGCAACCAAAGCCCUGAAUGCUUCCUUAUGGAAAUGGGAAAUCACUCCAUUCUUCUUGGAAGAAUUGCAUCAACAAUUUUCUGUGUUGUACGAAUCACAGAGCAGGAUUUAAUCAGGUGAUCAAACAUGGCCUCCGGUCACAUUGUUUGACUGAAGAGAAAUGGAGUGAACUAGAUUUGGUAGAACAAGGACUGAUCAGUGUGCAGAUGGGAUGCUAAUAUUUCUUGUUAGAAGGCAUGGAGCUAACCAAGCACUGAAGCGCUAACUCUUGGUGACUGUAAAGCCUGGAUAAAGUAGGAGGAUUGCGUCAGGAAGGGCAUCUGGCGUAAAACCUGUGCCAAAUCUAUAUCUAUAUUUGCAGUGGUGGCUCAAGUGGUUAAGGCUCUGGGUUGUUGACCGGAGGAUCAGGGUUCAAGCCCCAGCACUGCCAAGCUGCCACUGUUGGGCCCAUGAGCAAGGUCCUUAACCCUUACUGCUCCAAUGGUGCUGUAAUAUGUAGGGAUGUGGUAGCCUGCUAAAAGAGCAACACACAUAAUACUGUUAUGCUUGUGAUAUAGAGUUUUGAAAUAAAAUUUGUAUUAAUUCA